AAUCAUAUGCUAUUGUUCGAUUCCUAGCUUUUAGCUGGGAUAGAGUAUAAUAAUGGUCUUUAAAACUCUUCGCUUCCUCUUCGCCGUUCUCUUAGUUACUACCAAGGUUUCAGCUGAUGAGUUUGAGAACGAAAAGGCCAAGAAGCCAAAGGCACCAACUCCCGGCAACGUACAGUCUCCACCACUUCAAGUAAACAAAGUUUACGAUGAAGAGAAGAUUCUUGGGAAUAUCAUCAGUAAUGAGAUCCACUUGAUC
rnacentral:lncRNA from 1 species